rnacentral:sRNA from 1 species
UCUAGUUCUCUAGCUGCUGGUCUCCAAUGGACGAGCUAGGCCCGACGCAAGGUGGAGGCAGAAGACAAGGAAGAGUUCACUCAUCUUUCCCCUCAUUGUUCGCUCGCACUCCCUCUACGCCACAACGCUUCCUCUCCUGUUAAUUGCUGUAGGUGAGCCAACAACAUUGAUGAUGCAACGGCGAAGGUGCGGGUGACUGCUUGAGCAUCGGCAGAGCAGCUAGUUGGCCGCGGCGACGAUAAGCAGCAGUGGAAACCGGUCCUCUUUUCUCUUUUUUUUUUUGUUUUUACUAAACUUUUCUAGAUUCUUCUUUGCCCCAAGAUUUUUUCUUACCAUUUAUCUUAUACUAUGGCUAUGAUACUUUCUCCUUAUAUUAUCGUAGUUUGAA